rnacentral:siRNA from 1 species
AACGGUGAAUGAUAUCGACUGA